CCCUUAGACGUUCUGGGCCGCACGCGCGCUACACUGACCAGUGCAACAAGCAUCCGUCCUUGGCCGACAGGCCCGGGCAAUCUUUGAACGCUGGUCGUGAUGGGGAUAGACUUUUGCAAUUUUUGGUCUUCAACGAGGAAUUCCUAGUAAACGCAAGUCAUCAACUUGCAUUGAUUACGUCCCUGCCCUUUGUACACACCGCCCGUCGCACCUACCGAUUGAAUGGUCCGGUGAAGCCUCCGGAUUGGCGCGCACCUCGGUGCCGCCGAGAAGUUGGCUAAACCUUACCAUUUAGAAGAAGGUGAAGUCGUAACA
rnacentral:rRNA from 1 species